rnacentral:rRNA from 1 species
UGGGGGGACCAUCCUCCAAGGCUAAAUACUCCUGACUGACCGAUAGUGAACCAGUACCGUGAGGGAAAGGCGAAAAGAACCCCGGCGAGGGGAGUGAAAAAGAACCUGAAACCGUGUACGUACAAGCAGUGGGAGCACGCUUAGGCGUGUGACUGCGUACCUUUUGUAUAAUGGGUCAGCGACUUAUAUUCUGUAGCAAGGUUAACCGAAUAGGGGAGCCGAAGGGAAACCGAGUCUUAACUGGGCGUUAAGUUGCAGGGUAUAGACCCGAAACCCGGUGAUCUAGCCAUGGGCAGGUUGAAGGUUGGGUAACACUAACUGGAGGACCGAACCGACUAAUGUUGAAAAAUUAGCGGAUGACUUGUGGCUGGGGGUGAAAGGCCAAUCAAACCGGGAGAUAGCUGGUUCUCCCCGAAAGCU